UCUUGGCUGCUUUUACAGAUCCAGACUAACACGGCUACCCCUCUGAUAAAGAAUUAGAGUUAGCUGAAGUUUGGUUAAGGAAAUAUAUGUGUUGUAAAGAAAGGCCUUGAAAAUAAUGUUAUAAGGCCAGAAGGAAUUGAGUAGGGAGGAUGUCUGGUUCAAAGAAUAAUUAAUGAGAUAAGGAAAAUUUUUAAAAAGGCCUCUGACUGCUAGCAGUGACUGCAGCUGGUUUUAAAUAGGAAAAAAAAAAAUCUGUCUUAAAAGGAGCCACCAUGGAUCUUCCCACCCUUUUCACACCCAUGUUAUCUUAAAAGUAAAGCCCACUUGAACGCAAAUGCAAUGAAAAAGCUGUUGGUCAGCAAGAAGGAAAAGAGAUAAGAAAGGAAGGCCUUGGAGAAGGGAAAGUAACAAGGACAAGUUGCUUCAGACUGGGUUUCUGCUAAAGCUUGCAAGUUAGCAAACGGUAUAGAGCCAUGACUCUGAAUGUCCUUUGUGAGACCUGACCUGAUCAUGCUGGAGCACACCAAAAUGAGAUGGUUUCCCCUAAGUCUGUCCAAUUUGUAAGUAUACUGAUCACAUGCUUAUGAAUAUUUUGUUACUGUAUUGGGUAUAGUGACUGCUUGUUUUUAUGCUGUGAGCAUUUUUAGCUUAAUUGUAUAAAAUACUAUUUAGCCUUUGGACUUCAAGGAAUUCAUGGUUAAAUUAGUAUGUGGUGGUCUCCCAUAUUAUUAAUUUCUAAUAUUAAUUCAAACAUAAGGUGUGAGGGAUUUGGAUGGUGGGAGGUCCAUCAUAUGACAAAUUUUGAGACCCACUGUUAAGAAAGACACCCAUUAUUAUAUGUGGCAGAGAAGAGUCAUGUAGAAGAAAACAGAUCUGGAUCUCAACUCACUUAGGGUAAGCCUCCACAUCCACAAACAACAGAAAGCAUAAUGAAGUCUACAUUUUGUGAAGUUAUAUGCACUAUAAAUUUAUUUACACAUCGAGAGUUGUUUAAAUGUGAAAGGACGAUGCCCUAGCCAAGGUUGGUUUUUUAUUAUUCUUUAGUUUUAAUGUUACAAAAUGAUUUUUAAAUGUGUUUUCUGCUGUUGUUUCUUAAAGGUCUGAGUGAUUGCUUUUCCUAACUGCAACAUCCCUGUCAGUGUGUUGUAGGAAAGAAUUUAUUGCAUAUUUGGCAAAUGGCUUUUCAAAAAUGUGCUGCUACUGAGGUCUUACUGAUAUUCCCACAGGGUGUGCCAUAGGAACCAUGCUGAAGAGCGCUGUGACAAUUGGAAAACAGCUACUGGGGAGGAAGAGCUGGCUGGGUGGUCUGUAAUGGCAACAUUGUUGUUAAAGAAGAAAGACUAUCCAGAACAUGACAGCACUGCAUUACUUAAUUGAAAAAUUCAUCAAACAAGGAAGACCCUUAACAUCAGCACGAUUGUUUAAGAAUGUGUAAAUGAAGAAAGUUCUCAUCGUGCUGCAGCUGCACAUGAAAUCAAGGGGCCUGUAUAGCAACAAUAUAUCAUUUUUAAAAUGCAGUCAUUCAGUAGUGGUAGUGUAGACAUCUCAGUCUAGAACAAGUUAGUGGUGGGGGAGGCAGGCAGAAGUAGGCACAAUGGAAAUAUAAACGUGUUCCCUCCUGCUUGAAUCAUCAGCAUCAUGCUGGUCUUUAUCUUAUGUAUUCCUGUUCUCCAAGUUACAAUUUUCCAAAUGCUCUCACUCCUCAAGUAAAGGAAAAUAAAUAAGGGCUAAUCAGCAUGCACACACAAAAAAAAAUCAUGAAAGCUGUUUACCUCAGUAGCACAAUUCAGGGAAGAAAGAAUUGGUUGCAGUCCAACUGAAAGUCUUCCCCACCCAUUCUGUUUAUGCCUACAUUAAACACUAGCCAGACUUCCCUUCAAAGACUAAAGCCAUUAGUUGUGAGUGUUAAUAUUAUAAAAUUGAGUAUCACUGCCUCACUUAAGUAUAAAGAAACAGUACUUGAUGCAAACAUUUUAUAAACUGUAAACUUACUGUAAUAUCUUGAGUAUUACCCAGAUAUCAAGAGUAGGUACAUAUGCUUUUAAAAAUGAAGACAUUUAGUAACAAGACAAUGUCACUUCACAAAACAGUUUGAGGUAUUUUAUUUAUAUAGCAAUCUUUAUUUCAAAAGGACAUUUUUAUUACAAAAAAUGUAAAAAUCCAGCUAAACCAGAAACAUUGAGACUUUUUUCCUGGGCCUUCAAAUUCAUUAAUCUUUGUCCCCAGAUUCUUUUCACCACAAUAUCAUCCCCCACAUCCAGCUUGAUUACACAGGUGCAAAUGUGCCAGAAUGGCCUGGAAUAGAUAAAUAUACUGAGAAAGGCAAAAGCUGUAAAAGCUAGAUGCAUGCAACAGGUU